rnacentral:rRNA from 1 species
GUGGGGAAUAUUGGACAAUGGGCGCAAGCCUGAUCCAGCAAUGCCGCGUGCAGGAUGAAGGCCUUCGGGUUGUAAACUGCUUUUGUACGGAACGAAACGGUCCGGGUUAAUACCCUGGGCUAAUGACGGUACCGUAAGAAUAAGCACCGGCUAACUACGUGCCAGCAGCCGCGGUAAUACGUAGGGUGCAAGCGUUAAUCGGAAUUACUGGGCGUAAAGCGUGCGCAGGCGGUUUUGUAAGACAGGCGUGAAAUCCCCGGGCUCAACCUGUGAAUUGCGCUUGUGACUGCAAGGCUGGAGUGCGGCAGAGGGGGAUGGAAUUCCGCGUGUAGCAGUGAAAUGCGUAGAUAUGCGGAGGAACACCGAUGGCGAAGGCAAUCCCCUGGGCCUGCACUGACGCUCAUGCACGAAAGCGUGGGGAGCAAACAGGAUUAGAUACCCCAGUAGUCC